rnacentral:rRNA from 1 species
UACAGAGGUGGCAAGCGUUGUUCGGAAUUACUGGGCGUAAAGCGUGCGCAGGCGGCUAUGCAAGACAGAUGUGAAAUCCCCGGGCUCAACCUGGGAACUGCAUUUGUGACUGCAUGGCUAGAGUACGGCAGAGGGGGAUGGAAUUCCGCGUGUAGCAGUGAAAUGCGUAGAUAUGCGGAGGAACACCGAUGGCGAAGGCAAUCCCCUGGGCCUGUACUGACGCUCAUGCACGAAAGCGUGGGGAGCAAACAGG